rnacentral:rRNA from 1 species
UAAGGAAUAUUGGUCAAUGGCCGAAAGUCUGAACCAGCCAUGCCGCGUGGAGGAUGAAGGUCCUCUGGAUUGUAAACUUCUUUUAUCUGGGACGAAAAAAGGGUUUUCUAACUCACUUGACGGUACCAGAUGAAUAAGCACCGGCUAACUCCGUGCCAGCAGCCGCGGUAAUACGGAGGGUGCAAGCGUUAUCCGGAUUCACUGGGUUUAAAGGGUGCGUAGGCGGGCAUGUAAGUCAGUGGUGAAAUCUCCGGGCUUAACUCGGAAACUGCCAUUGAUACUAUAUGUCUUGAAUUAUCUGGAGGUUAGCGGAAUAUGUCAUGUAGCGGUGAAAUGCUUAGAUAUGACAUAGAACACCCAUUGCGAAGGCAGCUAACUACGGGUAUAUUGACGCUGAGGCACGAAAGCGUGGGGAUCAAACA